rnacentral:rRNA from 1 species
UACGGAGGAUGCGAGCGUUAUCCGGAUUUAUUGGGUUUAAAGGGUGCGUAGGCGGCCAUUUAAGUCAGCGGUGAAAUUUUGCAGCUUAACUGUAACAGUGCCGUUGAUACUGUUUGGCUAGGAUUUGGUUGUAGUGUGCGGAAUGUGUGGUGUAGCGGUGAAAUGCUUAGAUAUCACACAGAACACCGAUUGCGAAGGCAGCACACUAAGUCAUUAUUGACGCUGAGGCACGAAGGUGUGGGUAUCAAACAGGAUUAGA